GCCAUUAAGGGAUGAGCGUAAGCAGUGACUGACAGGCAGGCUCUGCGAAGCGCUCAGCUGCCAGCCCCAGCCUUGGCAGGAAUCAUCACCCCGAGUGCCUCCCAUAGCCAGCGCUUGACAAAUGGGCAAGAUUCAGUCCAAGCCUAUGGGCUCAGCCCUUUGUUUCCCAGAGCCUCAGCCUCCAUGCCUAUUCACCCACACACUACCAGCCCCUCCACCCAGGAACAGCAUCAGCAACCACGCAGAGAGGAGCCCAUUGCUGCUGAAGGUGAGAGGCUGUCCUCUGCCUGCUUUCAGGACUCCUGGUUCUCAGGCUGCUAGACCUGAACUGGAAUCUACAGCCACUGGCUCUCUGGCUUUCAGGUCUUCAAACUACAUCACCAGCUUUCCUGGGCCUGAACCUUGCCAAUGACAGAUUGUGGGACUUCUCAGCCUCCAUAAACAUCCAACAGCAACUGCCCAUUGGAAGCACAUUGGAAUGGCAAUCCAACAUCCAAAAUGGCUGGGAAAGUGAAGUACUUCAGUUAUUGGAAUAUACUAGUUAGCUGACAAUUUCCAUCUGCCAAUAUCACAAGUGAGAGGACUAUUUCUAAACACUUAACA
rnacentral:lncRNA from 1 species